rnacentral:rRNA from 1 species
ACAAUGGGCGCAACUGGAUCCAGCGAUGCCGCGUGUGUGAAGAAGGCCUGCGGGUUGUAAAGCACUUUCAGUUGGGAAGAAAAGCCGAGUGCUAAUAUCACUCGGUCUUGACGUUACUAACAGAAGAAGCACCGGCUAACUCCGUGCCAGCAGCCGCGGUAAUACGGAGGGUGCGAGCGUUAAUCGGAAUUACUGGGCGUAAAGGGCGCGUAGGCGGUUUGGUAAGUCGGGUGUGAAAGCCCCGGGCUCAACCUGGGAAUUGCAUUCGAUACUGCCUGGCUAGAGUAUGGUAGAGGGAAGCGGAAUUCCGGGUGUAGCGGUGAAAUGCGUAGAUAUCCGGAGGAACACCAGUGGCGAAGGCGGCUUCCUGGACCAAUACUGACGCUGAGGCGCGAAAGCCGUGGGGAUCAAACAGGAUUAGAUACCCUGGUAGUCCACGCCCUAAACGAUGAGAACUAGCCGUUGGAGGAGCUUUGUCCUUUAGUGGCGCACUAACGCGAUAAGUUCUCCGCCUGGGGAGUACGGCCGCAAGGUUA